rnacentral:lncRNA from 1 species
UGAGAAUACCUGUACAUUUAGGUUCUGCUUUAAAUACCUAUACGAUAACCGUCAUUUGAAUCAGUUCUCUCCAGGAAUUAACCCUGACGCACCCAAUUCUUCCUAUAACACCCCAUGAAUUAGAGGGAUUCAAUAAAGCCAAACAGUUGGGGCUUGGUAACACACAUGAUAUACAAAAGGUUAUGAAACUGAAAAUUGGGCCGUUAGCCUAAGAAGAUAAGAAGAUUAUAAAUCCGUGUCCUCCUUAGCGAAAUGUUCAACCAUAUGUGGUUCUACACAUAGUCUAAGUUGCUCAUAUACACAACUAUUUUGCAACAAACAGACAAUAAUGAGGUCUGUUUUUUUUAGUUAUGGCUAAUCCAAACUCAUUAUUAUGAUUAGUGAAAGAUCAAGAAUAACACCAGGCAAAGCUCAUCAAAAGCAAAUGCCCCUGCCCUCUUGUCCUCUUCACCACAAUUUCAAUAACUGAUACGGUAUAACUAUCAUAUGAAAAAUAAUAACAACAUGAAAACCCAUAAUGAAAGAAGAUCACCAUAUGAAUCCAUAAUAAUAAUAAUAAUAAUAAUAAAGAAAUAAACCACAGCAAAGCUCAAGAUCAAUACUUAACUCUUAUAUCACGCAUGAAGACUGAAGCCUCCUUCACUUGGCUCACCAUGGCUUGAAAGAAAAAUUAAAGUACAUGGAGAUAACGUUGUCAUUAAGGUCCUUCAACACAUUGAUAACCUCACCUUUGGUCAAUGUUGGUUGUUUGCACAGAACCAAUAAGCCAAGUAAGAACUACACCACCAGUAAUGGGACUAAUAAGCACAUUAGCCUGUCAAGCAAGAAUUUGAAAAUUAGGCUGUUUAGAAAGUAAAAUAAAUGUACUCAUGUAUAAUUUUCAUUAGACUGAAAUCAUAGCAUUCAUUCGAAAACCCACUACCCAGAUUCGUACCCUUCCUCCCCAAAUCAAAACCCAAUAAUCUCUCAUAUUACCUUUCACGAUUUCCUGCAGAAGAGCAACCCAAACCCUUCACUCUCCAUUUGCAAGUCCAACAGACAAUCAUGAUUUGUCAUGUACAUUCCUGAAAACAAAAACAAAAGGCAAAAAAGGGCAAACCAAGCACAAACGGUAUCUAAGUUAUCAAUUGAGAACCAAACUGAAAACCAAUUACCCAAAUCCAUGUUCUUCCAGCUUGCCCCGGGUUUGAUCUGAACAUGAGAGAGAGAAGCUUGGGCACC